rnacentral:rRNA from 1 species
UACGUAGGGUGCAAGCGUUGUCCGGAAUUAUUGGGCGUAAAGAGCUCGUAGGCGGCUUGUCGCGUCGGCUGUGAAAACCUGGGGCUCAACCCCGGGCCUGCAGCCGAUACGGGCAAGCUAGAAUUCGGUAGGGGAGACUGGAAUUCCUGGUGUAGCGGUGAAAUGCGUAGAUAUCUGGAGGAACACCGGUGGCGAAGGCGACAUCCUGGACCGGUAUUGACGCUGAGGCGCGAAAGCCAGGGGAGCAAACGGG